rnacentral:rRNA from 1 species
AUGCAGAUUCAGACCGGACAUGGCAGAGAACGCCGGAGAAGACAAACACACAUGGAGGAGGGAAGCCUAGGAACGUCGACAGUCGCAGAAAUGGGCACCGGCCAGCGCAGCGCCAGCAGGCCGGCCACCGCCGGGAGCGCGUCCAGCAGGCGACAGCAGUCACCUGCACCGCGCCGCCGCUGCGCCGGCCCGCAGCCUCCACCACCAGGAUCCGCCGGGGCACAGCAUCGCAGCAACCGUCAGAGUUGUCGCGGGCGACCACUGGCGGCGGCCGGGAGGGGUGGGAGGAGGGAGAAGGGUGGGCAGGGGCGGAGUGGUUGA